rnacentral:piRNA from 1 species
AUGGCUUAGAGGUUAAGAGCACUGGC